rnacentral:piRNA from 1 species
UCAAAAUACUGAGUGUCUCAUCCUUUGAGC